GGCCCCGUAGCUCAGCUGGAUAGAGCGGCCGCCUCCUAAGCGGCAGGUCACAGGUUCAAAUCCUGUCGGGGUCACCA
rnacentral:tRNA from 1 species